GAGAAGAGCCACUGAGUGGGGAGGAGAGAGGGACAGAGAGCCUGCUUCUUUAAAGGAGCAGUUCCGGUUGGUUCCUUUAAAGCAAGCAGGCUCUCUGUCCCUCUCUCCUCCCCACUCAGCUCGCUAAAU
rnacentral:miRNA from 1 species